UCUAUCUAGCAAUUCACAGUUGUUUGAGUCGACAAGACUUUCUAGACAAAUUAAGAAAAACAAAGCAAUGGGGCAUAGCAAGACAUAUUUGAACAACAUUGAGAAGAGCUACUCUGCUCCAAGACUGAGAGGACUUCAGAUUGAUAACGAAGAUGACAUUAAAGCAAGGAUGGAAAGAUUGAAGAAGGAGAUGACAGAGAUUGGUGAGGAGCAAAAGUGCAUAAAAGCAGGGCAAAGGGAAGUGAGAAAGAAAAUUA